rnacentral:rRNA from 1 species
CAUGUCUUUUUGAUUAUAAUUUAAGGUUUGAUCUGCUCAAUGAGGAUUUAAAUUGCCGCGGUAUUUUGACCGUGCAAAGGUAGCAUAAUAAUUAGUUUUUUUAUUGAAAGCUGGAAUGAAUGAUUGGACGAGAAAAUUACUGUCUCUAAUUAAUUUUUUUUUUAAUUUAACUUUUAAGUAAAAAGGCUUAAAUUUCUAUUAAAGACGAGAAGACCCUAUAGAGUUUUAUAUUAUUUUUAUUGUAAGUAUUGUAGAAUUUUUUAAUUUAUACUAUUAAUAUUAUUUGGUUGGGGUGAUCUAAAGAUUUAUUAAACUCUUUAUUGUUUUAUCAAUGAUUUUUGAUUAUAUAAUCUGAUUCUUUCAAAUUUAAGAAAAAUUACCUUAGGGAUAACAGCGUAAUUCCCUUUUAGAGCUCAAAUUAGAAGGGGAGUUUGCGACCUCGAUGUUGGAUUAAAAUUUAUUUUUGGCGCAGAAGCUUUAAAAUUAAGUCUGUUCGACUUUUAGAAUUUUACAUGAUCUGAGU